CCAGCUCAGAUUUAUGCUUCUGAAAAAACUUUCCCACUGCGUGUGUGUGGCAGGUACAGCUAUGGGAAAGCAGUGCAAGGGACCAUGCGAGUGACUUUGUGCCAGAAGGCAAGGAGGCAUCCUCAAAAUGCCAGCAAGGACACCUGUAGGGAAUACAGCGGUCCGACCAUGAGCAAGGGGUGCUUUACCCCUUCGGUGAGCACGUCAGUCUUCAGCCUGGCUCCCAGCGAGGAGGAUGGCAAGCUCUAUGCAGAAGCCUCUCUCCUGGAGAUGGGCACAGGUACCCGGG
rnacentral:lncRNA from 1 species